rnacentral:misc_RNA from 1 species
GAUGAAGAACGCAGCGAAAUGCGAUACGUAAUGUAAAUUGCAGAAUUCAGUGAAUCAUCGAGUCUUUGAACGCACAUUGCGCCCCCUGGUAUUCCGGGGGGCAUGCCUGUCCGAGCGUCAUUGCUGCCCUCAAGCACGGCUUGUGUGUUGGGCCUCCGUCCUCCUCCCGGGGGACGGGCCCGAAAGGCAGCGGCGGCACCGCGUCCGGUCCUCGAGCGUAUGGGGCUUCGUCACCCGCUCUUGUAGGCCCGGCCGGCGCUUGCCGACACAUCAAUCUUUUUUCCAGGUUGACCUCGGAUCAGGUAGGGAUACCCGCUGAACUUAAGCAUAUCAAUAAGCGGAGGA